rnacentral:sRNA from 1 species
GGCAGAGGAGGGAGCGAGGAGGUGAGACCCGCUCCACCCUGCUCGCCUAGGCUCGGCGGAGGCUAAGAGCAGGGCAGCCUCCUCUGUCCGGCGCCCGCUGAGCCCCGGCAUCUGGAACUCAGGGCCCUGGCGCUCCAGGGACGGGAACUGGCCGGGAAGACCGCGCGGGAGAGCACGGAUGGGCACCCUGGGCUCGAUCUUCUCACCUGGGGCGGGUGGGUGCUGCACUACCCUCUCACCCUCCUUCCUCCGUGUGGACGACAGAGCCACAUCCAGCACCACGGACAGCUCCCGGGCGCACUGGAAGCUGAGGGUUCUGACAGCGGCAGGCCACAUAGGCAACGAAGCUGGUGCAUGCAGUGUCUCUGGUCAAGGUUAUGCAAACCAAAAAGAAGAAUGUACUUCAUCCGGUUGGGCUGGAUUCCCUCUGAUAAGCCUUCCCAGUUGACUGAAAGAUGAGGCUAGGCUCUAGCAAGUUAAAGUCGAACCAGCUCCUUCAAGAAGCUUUGAGCAGAAUGAAGUGGGGAGGACCCAGCUUCUGGCCCAGGAAGUCCACUGUACCUGGAGCCAUCUGGGAUAAGACUUUGACCCAUGACUCCCAUAUCCACAACCUGUCCAUCCUGGCCCAUCCCAGUUUAUCCUGUAUCAUUUGAGCUGGGGUUCCCACAUCCUCUGAGAUGGAAGUCCCAUCUCAAGUCUUCAAUAAAGACUCUUGAAUAUUGAAUC